rnacentral:rRNA from 1 species
AAGACCCCAUGGAGCUUUAAAUCCAACAGCACCUAUUACCCAUAUAUCUUUAUAUUUUUUUAGCAAAUGCUCGUUCGGUUUUAGGUUGGGGUGACCAUGGAGUAAAAAAUAACCUCCACGAAAAAAGGCAUAAAACCCUUAUCAAAGAGCCACAUCUCUAUGAAUUAGUAAACUAAUUUCUGAUGAUCCGAUAUUCGAUCAACGAACCAAGUUACCCUGGGGAUAACAGCGCAAUCCGCCUUAAGAGCCCCUAUCGACAGGCGGGUUUACGACCUCGAUGUUGGAUCAGGGUAUCCCAGUGGUGCAACAGCUACUAAAGGUUCGUUUGUUCAACGAUUAA